rnacentral:rRNA from 1 species
GCUGACUUCCGCUUUCGGAUUCGUGUCCAGCGGGAUAAGCGUGCCAAGGUCGCUAGAACGAAGUGGUGGAAGCUCAAGGGGGAGGUAGCUCAGGUGUUCAAGGAGAGGGUAUUUAAGGAGGGCCCUUGGGAGGAAGGAGGGGAUGCGGACAAUGUGUGGAUGAAGAUGGCGACUUGCAUUCGUAAGGUGGCCUCGGAGGAGUUUGGAGUGUCCAGGGGAGGGAGAAGCGAAGAUAAGGAUACCUGGUGGUGGAAUGAUGAUGUCCAGAAGGCGCUUAAAGAGAAGAAAGAUUGCUUCAGACGCCUAUACCUGGAUAGGAGUGCAGACAACAUAGAGAAGUACAAGAUGGCGAAGAAGGCCGCAAAGCGAGUUGUUGGUGAAGCAAGGGGUCGGGCAUAUGAGGACCUCUACCAACGGUUAGGCACGAAGGAAGGUGAAAGGGACAUCUAUAAGAUGGCUAAGAUUCGGGAGAGGAAGACGAGGGAUAUUGGCCAAGUCAAAUGCAUCAAGGAUGGAGCAGGCCAACUCUUG